UACGUAGGGGCCUAGCGUUGUCCGGAUUUAUUGGGCGUAAAGAGCUCGUAGGCGGUUUGGUAAGUCGGGUGUGAAAUCUCCACGCUCAACGUGGAGGGGCCACCCGAUACUGCCAUGACUCGAGUCCGGUAGGGGAGUGUGGAAUUCCCGGUGUAGCGGUGAAAUGCGCAGAUAUCAGGAGGAACACCGGUGGCGAAGGCGGGUCUCUGGGCCGAUACUGACGCUGAGGAGCGAAAGCGUGGGGAGCGAACAGG
rnacentral:rRNA from 1 species